rnacentral:lncRNA from 1 species
AUCAGAUCACCACUUGAAAAGAACACAGUUUUGAAAUUAUCUUUCAUUUCAUGUUGGAGAAGAACACUUGACCAGAAGAGAACAAGGAGGCAGAUGGUGGCUUCUGUGAGAAUGAUGAAGAAGACUCACAGACACUUCCAAGGUCUGCAGCAUUGGUGUAGUGGUUUCCUAUGUCAUACUUUCUUUUAUGUGAGUCACACUGCAUUUAUUUGCCAUAAUUUCAUUUUCAUAACAUAGGAAUGGAUCCCAGAGAGAGAGAGAUAAAGAUUCCUUAAGACUAGUGGGCACAACCUGUGUACAGUAGAAAGAUGUGGUUAUAGUGGUGAGAAAGCAGUUGCCUGAGGUAGAAUUAACUGAAUAGUGAAAGUAAAAUGGCAAAGAGUAGGCCUCUCACUGAGGGUUUGGGCUCAUCAAACAAAAUCUUGAUCCUUUCUGACCUCAUUAAGUGUCUUUUCAAGAAGAUAUGAUAUCCUCAACGUUUAUAGAC